rnacentral:tRNA from 1 species
CAAAUUAUAACUAAUAUAGUAUUUUAUUUACACUAAAAUUUUUAAUUGUUAAUUCAGUUUAAUUUGA